AUUGAUUUUAUGCUUGCAUAAAUGAUUUUUGGAUUCGGAGCGAGUGGCGAACUGGUGAGUAACACGUGGGUAACCUGCCCCGAAGCGGGGGAUAACAUUUGGAAACAAGUGCUAAUACCGCAUAAUUAGUUGGAACCGCAUGGUUCCAACUUGAAAGAUGGCUCUGCUACCACUUUGGGAUGGACCCGCGCCGUAUUAGUUAGUUGGUGAGAUAAAAGCCCACCAAGACGAUGAUACGUAGCCGACCUGAGAGGGUAAUCGGCCACAUUGGGACUGAGACACGGCCCAGACUCCUACGGGAGGCAGCAGUAGGGAAUCUUCCACAAUGGACGAAAGUCUGAUGGAGCAACGCCGCGUGAGUGAUGAAGGUUUUCGGAUCGUAAAACUCUGUUGUUAAAGAAGAACAAGUGUUAGAGUAACUGUUAACACUUUGACGGUAUUUAACCAGAAAGCCACGGCUAACUACGUGCCAGCAGCCGCGGUAAUACGUAGGUGGCAAGCGUUGUCCGGAUUUAUUGGGCGUAAAGCGAGCGCAGGCGGUUUUGUAAGUCUGCUGUGAAAGCCCUCAGCUCAACUGAGGAAGUGCAGUGGAAACUACAAAACUUGAGUACAGAAGAGGAAAGUGGAACUCCAUGUGUAGCGGUGAAAUGCGUAGAUAUAUGGAAGAACACCAGUGGCGAAGGCGGCUUUCUGGUCUGUUACUGACGCUGAGGCUCGAAAGCAUGGGUAGCGAACAGGAUUAGAUACCCUGGUAGUCCAUGCCGUAAACGAUGAAUACUAGGUGUUGGAGGGUUUCCGCCCUUCAGUGCCGCAGCUAACGCAUUAAGUAUUCCGCCUGGGGAGUACGACCGCAAGGUUGAAACUCAAAGGAAUUGACGGGGGCCCGCACAAGUGGUGGAGCAUGUGGUUUAAUUCGAUGCUACGCGAAGAACCUUACCAGCUCUUGACAUCUUCUGCCAACCCAAGAGAUUGGGCGUUCCCUUCGGGGACAGAAUGACAGGUGGUGCAUGGUUGUCGUCAGCUCGUGUCGUGAGAUGUUGGGUUAAGUCCCGCAACGAGCGCAACCCUUAUUAUUAGUUGCCAGCAUUUAGUUGGGCACUCUAGUGAGACUGCCGGUGAUAAA
rnacentral:rRNA from 1 species